rnacentral:rRNA from 1 species
GCUCAGAUUGAACGCUGGCGGCGUGCCUAACACAUGCAAGUCGAGCGAGAAGCCGAUGUGAGGAGUUUUCGAACGGAUCUUUUCGGUGGAAAGCGGCGGACGGGUGAGUAACGCGUAGGCAACCUGCCUUAUGGAGAGGGAUAGCCUCGGGAAACCGGGAUUAAGACCUCAUUAUGCUACUAGAUUACAUGAUUUAAUAGUCAAAGAUUUAUCGCCAUAAGAUGGGCCUGCGUCUGAUUAUGUUAGUUGGUGAGGUAACGGCUCACCAAGACUGCGAUCAGUAGCCGACCUGAGAGGGUAAUCGGCCACAUUGGAACUGAGACACGGUCCAAACUCCUACGGGAGGCAGCAGUGGGGAAUAUUGCACAAUGGGGGAAACCCUGAUGCAGCAACGCCGCGUGAGUGAUGACGGUCCUAUGGAUUGUAAAGCUCUGAUCUGAGGGAAGAAUAAGAUGACGGUACCUCAGGAGAAAGCCCCGGCUAACUACGUGCCAGCAGCCGCGGUAAUACGUAGGGGGCAAGCGUUAUCCGGAUUUAUUGGGCGUAAAGGGUGCGUAGGUGGCGCGUUAAGCGAGAGGUGAAAGGCCUUGGCUCAACCAAUGUAAGCCUUUCGAACUGGCGUGCUUGAGUGCAGGAGAGGAAAGCGGAAUUCCUAGUGUAGCGGUGAAAUGCGUAGAUAUUAGGAGGAACACCGGUGGCGAAGGCGGCUUUCUGGACUGUAACUGACACUGAGGCACGAAAGCGUGGGGAGCAAACAGGAUUAGAUACCCUGGUAGUCCACGCCGUAAACGAUGAGCACUAGGUGUCGGGGCGUAACAGCUUCGGUGCCGGAGUUAACGCAUUAAGUGCUCCGCCUGGGGAGUACGCACGCAAGUGUGAAACUCAAAGGAAUUGACGGGGACCCGCACAAGCAGCGGAGCAUGUGGUUUAAUUCGAAGCAACGCGAAGAACCUUACCAGGGCUUGACAUCCCUCUGACCGGCGUGUAACGGCGCCUUCCCUUAGGGGCAGAGGAGACAGGUGGUGCAUGGUUGUCGUCAGCUCGCGUCGUGAGAUGUUGGGUUAAGUCCCGCAACGAGCGCAACCCUUGUCAUUAGUUGCCAUCAGGUAAAGCUGGGCACUCUAAUGAGACUGCCGGGGAUAACUCGGAGGAAGGUGGGGAUGACGUCAAAUCAUCAUGCCCCUUAUGUUCUGGGCUACACACGUGCUACAAUGGCCGGUACAAUGGGAAGCGAUACAGCGAUGUGGAGCAAAUCACCAAAACCGGUCCCAGUUCGGAUUGUAGGCUGAAACCCGCCUGCAUGAAGUCGGAGUGCUAGUAAUCGCAGAUCAG